rnacentral:rRNA from 1 species
UACAGAGGUCCCAAGCGUUGUUCGGAUUCAUUGGGCGUAAAGGGUGCGUAGGCGGCGCGGUAAGUCGGGUGUGAAAUCUCGGGGCUUAACUCCGAAACUGCAUUCGAUACUGCCGUGCUUGAGGACUGGAGAGGAGACUGGAAUUUACGGUGUAGCGGUGAAAUGCGUAGAUAUCAGGAGGAACACCUGUGGCGAAAGCGGCUCACUGGACCACAACUGACGCUGAGGCGCGAAAGCUAGGGGAGCAAACAGG